GAUGAACGCUGACAGAAUGCUUAACACAUGCAAGUCAACUUGAACUUCGGUUUGGGUGGCGGACGGGUGAGUAACGCGUAAAGAACUUGCCUCACAGCUAGGGACAACAUUUGGAAACGAAUGCUAAUACCUGAUAUUAUGAUUUUAGGGCAUCCUAGAAUUAUGAAAGCUAUAUGCGCUGUGAGAGAGCUUUGCGUCCCAUUAGCUAGUUGGAGAGGUAACGGCUCGCCAAGGCGAUGAUGGGUAGCCGGCCUGAGAGGGUGAACGGCCACAAGGGGACUGAGACACGGCCCUUACUCCUACGGGAGGCAGCAGUGGGGAAUAUUGGACAAUGGACCAAGAGUCUGAUCCAGCAAUUCUGUGUGCACGAUGAAGUUUUUCGGAAUGUAAAGUGCUUUCAGUUGGGAAGAAAAAAAUGACGGUACCAACAGAAGAAGUGACGGCUAAAUACGUG
rnacentral:rRNA from 1 species